rnacentral:rRNA from 1 species
UACGUAGGGGGCUAGCGUUGUCCGGAUUUAUUGGGCGUAAAGAGCGUGUAGGCGGCCAGGCAGGUCCGUUGUGAAAACUCGAGGCUCAACCUCGAGACGUCGAUGGAAACCGUCUGGCUAGAGUCCGGAAGAGGAGAGUGGAAUUCCUGGUGUAGCGGUGAAAUGCGCAGAUAUCAGGAAGAACACCUAUGGCGAAGGCAGCUCUCUGGGACGGUACUGACGCUGAGACGCGAAAGCGUGGGGAGCAAACAGG